rnacentral:rRNA from 1 species
GCUAGAUUGACGCUGGCGGCAGGCCUAACACAUGCAAGUCGAACGGUAACAGGAAGCAGCUUGCUGCUUCGCUGACGAGUGGCGGACGGGUGAGUAAUGUCUGGGAAACUGCCUGAUGGAGGGGGAUAACUACUGGAAACGGUGGCUAAUACCGCAUAACGUCGCAAGACCAAAGAGGGGGACCUUCGGGCCUCUUGCCAUCAGAUGUGCCCAGAUGGGAUUAGCUAGUUGGUGAGGUAACGGCUCACCAAGGCGACGAUCCCUAGCUGGUCUGAGAGGAUGACCAGCCACACUGGAACUGAGACACGGUCCAGACUCCUACGGGAGGCAGCAGUGGGGAAUAUUGCACAAUGGGCGCAAGCCUGAUGCAGCCAUGCCGCGUGUAUGAAGAAGGCCUUCGGGUUGUAAAGUACUUUCAGCGGGGAGGAAGGUGUUGUGGUUAAUAACCGCAGCAAUUGACGUUACCCGCAGAAGAAGCACCGGCUAACUCCGUGCCAGCCGCCGCGGUAAUUCGUCGUGACUGGGAAC